rnacentral:lncRNA from 1 species
AUGAUUAUUAAUUGCUCUAGUUUCCUAGCAACUGUAGUAUUUAAGGUUUUAUAAGUUCAGCUGCUAUAUUUUUAUGAGUAUAAUUUUUUUUUUUAUUCAUAAGUUUUUGGUCGCUACAUUUAUCUCUUAGCCACCGUUUGGUUAAGUAAAAACUUGUUAUUUUAGGGAUAGAGUUAAGUUCAGGGUUAAUGUGAGGUUAGAGUAAUUUUAUAUUUGGUUGAGAAUUGGAUUUAGUUCAGGUAUAGAUAAAAUAGUGUUUGGUUGGAGUAGAUGGGAUAAAAAGGAUAGUGAGUAAAAUAGUGUUUUGUUUGGUUGGAGUAGUGGAGUGGGGUGGGGUUAGUACCAAUUUGGUGUUUGGGAAUAACUUCGGGGUUAAGGAGCCCUUAACCCCGAACCAAACGGGUGCUUAGAUUAUUUUUAUUUGUUAGAUUGUACUAUUCAACCGAUUAUCCACUCAACUCUAUGAGACCAUUAUCAUUUUAACUGAAGACCAUUAUCAUCCUAACUGUACAUCCCUUCGUCCAACGACUAAAAAUUUAUGAGUACAAAUAAUUUUAUACUCAUAAGAGUACAGUAAUCCUACUCUCUAAAUUAGCUCUCUUUUAGAGGAAAACACUGUAACUAGCAUCCAAAAUGUAAUUUUUAUAUAUUGUAGUAGUUUAAAGGGGCGGUUGCUUAUAUACCUCUGAAAAAUUUUCGGUUUUCUGAUUUAUCCCUCUUAGAAGGCUCAUAUUAAAAAUAUUUUUUUUACAUUUCAAGUUGUAUCAAAUAUACCUCUAGAGUUAAAUUCUAUCGGUGAAUUGUUAGUAAUAGCCAUUAUCUCUAUAAAAUUACUAUUUUGUCCUUUCAAACUCACGUUAACUCACGUUUAACUGAGAUAACUUAACAUGUGAUAACUGUGGAGAUAUUUUUGAAUAACCGAGGAACAUAUAAGAAGUAUAUUAAAAACAAAAAAAAUAAUGAUAAAUUAGAUAUUUUUAUUUUU